UACGAAGGGGCGAGCGUUGUUCGGAAUUACUGGGCGUAAAGGGCGCGUAGGCGGCCGAUUAAGUCAGAUGUGAAAGUCCUGGCUUAACCUGGGGACUGCAUUUGAUACUGAUUGGCUUGAAUGCAGGAGAGGAUAGCGGAAUUCCCAGUGUAGAGGUGAAAUUCGUAGAUAUUGGGAAGAACACCGGUGGCGAAGGCGGCUAUCUGGACUGUGAUUGACGCUGGAGG
rnacentral:rRNA from 1 species